GAUGAACGCUGACAGAAUGCUUAACACAUGCAAGUCAACUUGAAUUUGGGUUUUUUAACUUAGAUUUGGGUGGCGGACGGGUGAGUAACGCGUAAAGAACUUGCCUCACAGCUAGGGACAACAUUUGGAAACGAAUGCUAAUACCUGAUAUUAUGAUUAUAAGGCAUCUUAGAAUUAUGAAAGCUAUAUGCGCUGUGAGAGAGCUUUGCGUCCCAUUAGCUAGUUGGAGAGGUAACGGCUCACCAAGGCGAUGAUGGGUAGCCGGCCUGAGAGGGUGAACGGCCACAAGGGGACUGAGACACGGCCCUUACUCUUACGGGAGGCAGCAGUGGGGAAUAUUGGACAAUGGACCAAGAGUCUGAUCCAGCAAUUCUGUGUGCACGAUGACGUUUUUCGGAAUGCAAAGUGCUUUCAGUUGGGAAGAAAAAAAUGACGGUACCAACAGAAGAAGUGACGGCUAAAUACGUG
rnacentral:rRNA from 1 species